AUAAAAUAUAAUAAAUUUUAUUUCAGAAAAUCAAUGCAUGCAAAAAUCCAAUAAUUAUUACUAAAGAAAAACAAGUAUUUUAGCAUGAAAUUUUAAACUUUUGAAAAGCAACCUUCUUGAAGCAUAAGAAAACUAAAUCGUUUGUUGAUAUUACUGGAAAAGGUGCGAACAACGAAUCAUGAAUGGAAGGACCUUGACUUUGAAAUAGAGCUUGUUUACCAUUUAGUGUAAUCACUAGUUCACUGUACAGUGGAGCUGAGUUGCUUAGGGAGAGCACACGAAAUACAAACUAUAUAAAAUUUACGCUAAUGGACUUUAGCACAGGUAAGGAAAGUAUAAAAAUUUGUAAAACUAUAAAUAGAUACAUAAAAACUAACUUACAAUUAAAAUAAAUUAUAUGCGUACUUGAAGAAAUAAA